rfam:Heligmosomoides polygyrus genome assembly, scaffold: HPBE_scaffold0000398
GCACCGAUGUCCGAGUGGUUAAGGAGAUUGACUAGAAAUCAAUUGGGCUCUGCCCGCGUAGGUUCGAAUCCUGCUCGGUGCG